AUUAUUUUAAUCUCAUAAAGCAAAAAUUAAAAAUAACAAAGAAGCCAUCAGUGAUCACUCACUCCUUACUUCACUGAGUCUAAACUUAGCCUUUUCAGCCUCGUUGUACUCGUCAGUCCAUCUGUUCAGCCUCAGAUUUCACCCUUAAGCCAAACUGAACCCGUUUGCUCUCUCUGAACAUGUUCCUCACUCCCCACCUCUAUACAAAUGCUCGUUUUUCCCCUUACCUAGCUUCUCUAUCAAAAUCCUCUUGAUUCUUUAAGGGCUACCUCAGCUUCUUCCAUUAGCUCUUUUUUUUUUAAUUUCUCUGUCUCCACCCAGUGAAUGUAAUUACCUUUUCCUAUGAUUCUUUGAACCAUUUGGUAUUUCUGUGUGUCUUUAUAUGUUUU
rnacentral:lncRNA from 1 species